ACCCUAAAACUUAAAGUAUAAUAAAAAAAAAAAAAAAGAAAUUCUAUUCUAGUUAAUGUAGUAUAAACAAAGGCCAGUCAGGUGUGGGUGGGAGCCUGGGGACAGGUUAGGAACACAGAUAGAAGGGCAACUCAUGUUUAGCAAGAAACAACCAUAAUAAUGAACAGCUGUAAACACUCAUUUAGAUGAGGAAAAAAGAAUUAUUAAUAAAGUAUUGAAAUAAUUACCAUUUUAAUUCAGUGCCUGGAGUAUAGUAAAUGUUCAAUAAAUGUUUGCUAAUAAAUACCUUGCUUUUUAAUAUUGUUUUGCCGUUAUGAAAUACUUUAUAAUUUCUCUGCUUCCUUAGAACAACCUGAGAGGUAAGACUAUUAUUCUUCCCAUUUUCAUUACCUGCAGAGGUCAUGCCCCUAGGAGCAGCAGAAUGAGAGCUUCAAUCCGCAUGCUUGAUUCACUAUUUCUCCCUCUUGGAUCUUGUCUUCCCAAAACCUUACAGGUGGGUAUCAGUGGACACCUGGGUAUGUAAUGUGAUCUGAGAGCCCACCCUCCCCUCUUUCCUACAAAGAACCACUUCUCACACGUAGUUAAAAAACAAAAACAAAACUGAAAGCAAAUAAAAGGAUCAUGAAAAUUAGGAAUUCCCCUCUACUCUCCUCCAGCCACCAAGCUCUACAGGAACUCUCUAAAGACAAUCCCCUUUUACUUUUCUUUAUUAUUAUUAUUUGUACAGACAGGGUCUUGCUCUGUCGCCCAGGCUACAGUACAGUAGCACGAUCAUAGCUCAUUGGAACCUCAAACUCAGGGACUCAAGGAUCUUCCCACCUCAGCCUGCCAAGUAGCUGGGACUACAGGUGCUCACCACCACACCUGGCUAAUUUUUUAAUUUUUUGUGGAGACGAGGUCUCACUAUGUUGCCCAGGCUGGUCUCAAACUCCUGGGCUAAAGUGAUUCCCACAACCUUGUCCUCCUAAAGUUCUGGGAUUACAAGCAUGAGCCACCACACCCAGUAAAGACAACUCUUAUAAUCAGCCUGUGUAAAUGUAUAGGUAUUUUAUGGGGUGUAUGUAUGUGUUUCUGUGUGUGUGUUGGUACAUAAACGGUAAGAUUUUAUAAUUUAUUUUUUUUCUUUUUUUCUUUUUCUUUUUUUUUUUUUUUUUGAGACGGAGUUUUGCUCUUGUCACCCAAGCUAGAGUGCAAUGGUGCGAUCUCAGCUCACUGCAACAUCCGCCUCCCAGGUUCAAGCAAUUCUACUGCCUCAGCCUCCUGAGUAGCUGGGAUUACAGGUGCCCACUGCCAUGCCCAGCUAAUUUUCAUAUUUUUAGUAGAGACAGGGUUUCACCAUGUUGGCCAGGCUGGUCUCAAACUCCUGACCUCCUCUGAAACAUGUGCUGUGUCCACUCAGGGUUAAAUGGAUUAAGGGCGGUGCAAGAUGUUUUUGUUAAACAGAUGCUUGAAGGCAGCUUGCUCGUUAAGAGUCAUCACCACUCCCUAAUCUCAAGUACCCAGGGACACAAACACUGCAGAAGGCCGCAGGGUCCUCUACCUAGGAAAACCAGAGACCUUUGUUCACUUGUUUAUCUGCUGACCUUCCCUCCACUAUUGUCCUAUGACCCUGCCAAAUCCCCCUCUGCGAGAAACACCCAAGAAUGAUCAAAAAAAAAAAAAAAAAAAAAAAAAAAAACUCCUGACCUCAGGUGAUCCGCCUGCUUCAGCCUCCCAAAGUGCUGGGAUUACAGGCGUGAGCCACCGCACCCGGUCUCUUUGCUUUCUUUUAAGUUAAGACUGUAAUUGGAAUAACUUUCCACAUCAAUACAUAUGGAACUGCCUUCUUUUUAACCAAAUCCUUGAUGGAUUUAGGUUUUAGUCUUUUAUUAAUAAUGUUUCAGUGAAUAACCCUCACUGUGCAUCAUUUCACACAUGUGGAAGUAAAUCUAUGGAAUACAGUUAGAAUUACUAGAUUCAAGGAUGUGCAGGUUUUUAGUUUUUAAAAACUAAAUUGCCAAAUUGCCCUUCAUAAAGCCCACAUUAUACCCUCACAAUCAAUGUAUAGAGUGCUAUCAUCCUAUUUCAUAAAAACUUUACUUUUCGGUUUAUUCAUCCACCUCCACGCUCACACACUCAAUAGCCCCAAACUGUUCAGCUUCUGAAAUGCAAAAUUCAAACGUACACCUCGUCCAUAACUUUUAUCCAACUACUCCCAUUACACCCCCACGCCUUCCCCAGUAGUUGGUUGCUGCAUUCCCUUCCUCUUCCCAUCACACCUAGCUCUGUGAUCUGUCACUUCAUCCUGAAUCAGGCCAACCAUUGCCACCUCCAAGCCAACAUCCUAGCUACCAAGUGCUCCUAGAGAGAAAUUACUCCACCUGGGCUGCUCCAAAUUCAUAUUCCCCAACCUCACCUGGGCCCUCCGCACUGCUCCUUGUGAUCAAUGCUCCCUUCCCCGGAAGAGUUUUCAAAGCUUUCCAUUCUCCUCGGAACUCCCUCCCCACCAACGGAUAGCCACCCUUCCAGCUUCCUCGGGGAAAUGAUAAUCCCAUUUUUCUUCCCCCUCUCCUCCACUCUUCCUCUCUCCCUUCUCCUUUCCCUUAUCAUUUAAGCCUCUUCUAGCCUCUGUCAUCUAAAAAGCCUCUCUCUUGACUCUGCUCUACCUCUUCCUGUCACUCUCUCGCCUCUCGCCCUGUUCACGGCCUCACUUCCUGUGAGAGAAUCCACGCCGUGAUUAUUCCACCCCAUCUCACAUUAGUCUCCAAACCUCUGAAGUCUGACUUCAACCAUCACAAUUAAACUUGCUCUCGUAUGCACCCAGUAAGCUGACAGUAAUUACUGUCAACCUUCUGCCACUUGACCUCGCUGCAGCAUUGGACACUCUUCCAUCCUCCUUCAUGAAACGGCCUUUUGUUCCUUUAGCUUCUGGCGCCUCAUCUCUUGCCACUCACCACCUCCUGUCUGUGCUGCAGCCUUAUUCAGCUCUUGACACUUCCUCAUGUGGUGGAUGGGGUGUUGACUCCUCAACUCUCCGAGUGAUUAGUCUAAACCAAACAUAGUGAUCUCACUCCCCUAGCUAGCAAUUUGAUCCGGAAGAAGUAUGUGACCCAAG
rnacentral:lncRNA from 10 species